rnacentral:rRNA from 1 species
AUUGAACGCUGGCGGCAGGCCUAACACAUGCAAGUCGAGCGAUCGGCGGACGGGUGAGUAAUGUCUGGGAAACUGCCUGAUGGAGGGGGAUAACUACUGGAAACGGUAGCUAAUACCGCAUACCAUCAGUUGUUCCCCGAUGGGAUUAGCUAGUAGGUGGGGUAACGGCUCACCUAGGCGAGGAUCCCUAGCUGGUCUGAGAGGAUGACCAGCAACACGGGAACUGAGACACGGUCCAGACGCCUAGGGGAGGCAGCAUGGGGGAAUAUUGCAAAAUGGGGGAAAGCCGGAUGAAGCCAUGCCGGGUGUGUGAAGAAGGCCUUCGGGUUGUAAAGCACGUUCAUCGGGGAGGCGUUACCCGAAGAAGAAGCACCGGCUAACUCCGUGCCAGCAGCCGCGGUAAUAC